rnacentral:rRNA from 1 species
UUAUGAAUAAGGAUCGGCUAACUCCGUGCCAGCAGCCGCGGUAAUACGGAGGAUCCGAGCGUUAUCCGGAUUUAUUGGGUUUAAAGGGAGCGUAGGCGGAUUGUUAAGUCAGUUGUGAAAGUUUGCGGCUCAACCGUAAAAUUGCAGUUGAUACUGGCGACCUUGAGUGCAACAGAGGUAGGCGGAAUUCGUGGUGUAGCGGUGAAAUGCUUAGAUAUCACGAAGAACUCCGAUUGCGAAGGCAGCACACUAAUCCGUAACUGACGUUCAUGCUCGAAAGUGUGGGUAUCAAACAGGAUUAGAUACCCUGGUAGUCCACACGGUAAACGAUGAAUACUCGCUGUUUGCGAUAUACAGCAAGCGGCCAAGCGAAAGCGUUAAGUAUUCCACCUGGGGAGUACGCCGGCAACGGUGAAACUCAAAGGAAUUGACGGGGGCCCGCACAAGCGGAGGAACAUGUGGUUUAAUUCGAUGAUACGCGAGGAACCUUACCCGGGCUUAAAUUGCAAAGGAAUAAUCUGGAAACAGAUUAGUCUUCGGACCUUUGUGAAGGUGCUGCAUGGUUGUCGUCAGCUCGUGCCGUGAGGUGUCGGCUUAAGUGCCAUAACGAGCGCAACCCUUGUUGUCAGUUACUAACAGGAUUUGCUGAGGACUCUGACAAGACUGCCAUCGUAAGAUGUGAGGAAGGUGGGGAUGACGUCAAAUCAGCACGGCCCUUACGUCCGGGGCUACACACGUGUUACAAUGGGGGGUACAGAGGGCCGCUACCACGCGAGUGGAUGCCAAUCCCAAAAACCUCUCUCAGUUCGGACUGGAGUCUGCAACCCGACUCCACGAAGCUGGAUUCGCUAGUAAUCGCGCAUCAGCCACGGCGCGGUGAAUACGUUCCCGGGCCUUGUACACACCGCCCGUCAAGCCAUGGGAGCCGGGGGUACCUGAAGUCCGUAACCGAAAGGAUCGGCCUAGGGUAAAACUGGUGACUGGGGCUAAGUCGUAACAAGGUAGCCGUACCGGAAGGUGCGGCUG